GUAUUCUGCACGGACUGCUGGGCAGCACUAGCACUCUGGAGAAGGUCUGCCGCUGUCUGCACUUUCCUGGUUCUAUGCAGGCAGAUGAGUGUCACAGCUGUAACUGAGGCACAGAGCAGUACACACAGUGGAGCCGAUUUCCGCGAUGGCGAGAGGGGGCACCGGAGGUGACAACAAUAACAAGACUGUCCUUCGGACAAGUUUUAGCGCUGAAUAUCUUCAGGAAAAUGGGUUCCAUGAGAAGUGACAUCCUCCUCGAAUCAAAAGGAAGAAUGACUUGGGCAAUACCAAAUGUUGAGUUAUCAAGUAUUUCGAUACCCAUAUGCAUCAUCUGCUAUUCUCAGGAUGAUGGAGUGAGUGAUGGAAUAGGUUGCCAACUGUAGUUACUCCACUCAGCACAGAAUGGCUGCGGGGAAAUAUAAUCAGACAUGCCCAAAGAAGUCUGCUUAGGGUGAAACAAAUACCUUUGAGGUUUAAAUCAGAAAGGAAGGAGAGACUGUUUCUACAGGUGUCAUACAAAAAUCAAUACUGAGCCAAGGAUUAUUGGAUCCCAUAGAACCACGGAGACUUGGUAGUGAAAUUCUUCCAAAGGCAGAUGGUGUUCCUAGGUUUGGAAAUAUAAAUCCCAUGGGAAGUCAGCUGAAGACCAUUUUAUGCAUCACUCAUCCUGUUAGAGCCCUGUGCUGUUCUGUCUCUCUAUAAGACUGGCUGAAACCACCACGGUUGUUUACAAUUUAUGCUCUAACUUUGGAUCACCUAGUUAAUACUCUAACUCCGAUUAUUACCAAAGACAAUGUUCUAUAAAAGAUAUUGUCUAUUAGAAGGAUGCUUCUGCAUUAUUAAUAAAAUCACAGGGAAAAUGCAACAUUUUGGAUGUCACAUCUGAUAAGUGGGUGACUGAUCGUACCCGCCAGCUGGCUAAUGUCAUAAUUAACAAAGUUGCUACUACAUCUGCAAAGUUUAAUCGAAAAAUUUGCCAGUGAUAUGAUGGCCUUGUCACAGAGAUCACAAGGGACACGGAGUUGACUUUUGCUCAAGGUGGAACGACAGAGCUGUGUAGGCAAGAUGAGAAAUUGCGAACUUGUUCGGCCAAAGGAGGCUAAUAAUGAAGGGGCCGGGAAGGAGGCCAGUGCUACCAGGGUUAUCUCACAACCUCAGAUGCUGGAUAAGUCGACGGAGGCAGAAUCGCUUUGGGAUGACAUUCAGAAAGCCUGGAGUGAUUACUUGCAAGAGAAAAGCCUACCUAUUCUUUCCAAGGUGCAGGAAUAUUCCCCUGACCUGCUCAUCCAGUGGUCCAGUAAUGAAUUACUGGAGACCUGCCUUAGACAAAGAAUGCACUCGGAGCCCCAACACACCUAAAGCCAUGCUUUGAAGGAUCUGCCAAGCUCACUUUUAAUCAUGAGAAAGAAAUUACCCACACGGAGUCAGCAGAAAAUGAGAAAGUAGAGCUCGUGCUGUGAAUAAUUCCAGCAAGUGCCAAGGGGCUAGUUGAGGAAUGGCUUCAUGAGAACAUGCUCUAGGGGAACUAUUAAUAGCCCACCAGUCGGGUAGGCAGCAUUCAAUCCUUCUAUGCCUUCUUUCGCCACCUGUUGAGGUCUUUCUUCUGAAACAAAGAAGAAAUAGACAAAUCAGACUUGCCCUCUUGGAAAUGUGGUCCAGAUUUCUCUACUCCCAAGCUCCAAAAAAGGUAUACAUUGGAUGGGCUAGAUCAACUCCUCCUGAGAGCCAUAAAUCCGCCAAGAGUUGUUUUCCAUGUAAGGGUGUGGUACAAUGGGGAACACCUGAUGUUGGAGGAAAGCAGGAGGACUUUAGAGUGGAGUUGCAUUCUAAUCUCUCUGCCGCUUCAACUAUGUGACCUGGGGCAAAUGAUAUAAACUCUAUGAGCCUCUUUCCUUAUCUUUAAAAUGAAGAGAAGUAAUACCUACCUUGUAGGGCUGUUGUGAGGAUUAAAUGAAGUAAUGCAUACAGUGCCUAACAAAGUAUUUAACAUCAUAUUUUUUAAAAGCUCAUGAAAUAUUAGUUUUUCUUCCUUCCCCUCUUUCUAUUUUCUCUCCUGUUCCCUUUUCUCUCCCUCCUCUGCCCUCUCCUUCCUUCAGAUGUUAGUCUAAAACAGCACCUUGGAUCUAAGCAGCACCUUUGAGAAAGAAAAGACUGCUUCAAGAAUGUCUAGUUGCACCUCCUUUCCGUAUGUGGCCUAAAUGCCUAGGUUGGAUCAAUAGUUUAAUUUUUUUAUUGAACUGUUUAAUAUUGACUAUGGACUUACAUUCACUUUUACUGUUUUCUGUAUAUUUACUUUUGCUUGAAGUGUUUUAAUAUUGACUAUUUACCUCUGCUCAUUUUUAUUGAUUUUCUGUAUUUUUUCAAUGAAAAUUAUAAUAAAAAUUAUUUUUGUUA
rnacentral:lncRNA from 1 species